UACGUAGGGUGCAAGCGUUGUCCGGAAUUAUUGGGCGUAAAGAGCUCGUAGGCGGUCUGUCGCGUCGGCUGUGAAAACCCGGGGCUCAACCCCGGGCCUGCAGUCGAUACGGGCAGACUAGAGUGCGGUAGGGGAGACUGGAAUUCCUGGUGUAGCGGUGAAAUGCGCAGAUAUCAGGAGGAACACCGGUGGCGAAGGCGGGCCUCUGGGCCGUAACUGACGCUGAGGAGCGAAAGCGUGGGGAGCGAACAGG
rnacentral:rRNA from 1 species